rnacentral:rRNA from 1 species
UACAGAGGUCUCAAGCGUUGUUCGGAUUCAUUGGGCGUAAAGGGUGCGUAGGUGGCGCCGUAAGUCAGGUGUGAAAUUUCGGAGCUUAACUCCGAAACUGCAUUUGAUACUGCGGUGCUUGAGGACUGGAGAGGAGACUGGAAUUCACGGUGUAGCAGUGAAAUGCGUAGAUAUCGUGAGGAAGACCAGUGGCGAAGGCGGGUCUCUGGACAGUUCCUGACACUGAGGCACGAAGGCUAGGGGAGCAAACGGG